rnacentral:rRNA from 1 species
AACGACUCUCGGCAACGGAUAUCUCGGCUCUCGCAUCGAUGAAGAACGUAGCGAAAUGCGAUACUUGGUGUGAAUUGCAGAAUCCCGCGAACCAUCGCGUCUUUGAACGCAAGUUGCGCCCGAAGCCAUUAGGCCGAGGGCACGUCUGCCUGGGCGUCACGU